rnacentral:lncRNA from 1 species
UCUUCAGGUUUAUUUUUUCAUCAUCAUCGUCAUCAUCAUUGUGACUUCAACUCUCUGUGUGUAUGUAUGUGUGUGUGUGUGUGUUUCUUUUUCUCUUUUCCUUUUUUUUUCUGUGAAUUUUUUGUAUGAUGGUUUUCUUGUACGUUUAUUUCAAAUUCUUUUUAGUCUCCAUAUCUAUGAAUGCUGUUCAUAAAAGGGGUUUUGAUCAAACGAUCAAUAUUUUUUUUUCUUUUUUCAUUCAAGUGGGAUUUUCUUAUUUUGUUGCAGUUCUUGAUAUGUUGCAAGAUUUAAUUUUUAUGAUUCUUUUUUCCUUUUUGUUAUUGUAGUUGUAUUAUUUAUUUGGAAGAUUUAAAACCAUAAGGUUUGAACAAGCUUUCAAAUGCACAAUGUAUGUAAACUCAUAGCUUCUUUUCCAUUUUGCGUAUUUUUUGAAAAGAAAUCAAUUUAUAUUAUGCUAUUGAACUGCUGAUAUAAUAUGG